GCCCCUUGGAGCCAAAAACGUAGCAACGUCACGUCUGUAGUUGACCUCGGUUCCGGGCACCUUCCUGAGCAUUCUUCGGGAGGCACUUGUGAAACUCAGCCCAGGUGCUGCCCAGGAUCAGGAGGCUGAGACGUGAUCUGGAAGUGAGUGCCCAUCCAUACACCUUCCCCAGCUUUGGGGCCACAGAGGGACAGAAACCGCAGGCAGGCUGGCCUGGGAAUGAACCUACACCAGCCUGAAGUCAGAAGAGCCUCUAGGAGCCUCCAGCCUGGACUCUUUUUACAGAUGGGGAAACUGAGUCCCAGAGAGGGAGCAAUGAAGGAUGUCUAAGGUCAUCAGCAACGUAAAGCCAACAGCAUCAUCCUGAGUCAUGUUUGAACCUGAGGGAAAGAAACAUAUGUUCGAAGAGGUUCUGAGGCUGCUGCACCCGAUAUCAUACCUGGUUGGCCCUGGGAAAGGGCCCACCUCCAAUACAUAAACACAACCAGCUUUGACAGUGAGCCCUGAAGCAUGGCAUUGAGAAGCUGCCUAAGAAGGAGGCAGAUCCAUCAGCCUGGGUGCCCGACUGAUUACCCUGAGCAGAGCUCCCCAGCCCACCUGUGAUGGACGCAUGGAGCUUGAGCAAGGAAUAAAUAUUCGUUGCUGGACUCUGAUUACACUGGACCUAUCCAAGAUCUGAGAUCAUCAACUCAUCUCAAAAUCCUUAAGCUGACCACAGCAGCAUCGUCCCUUUUGCAGUGUAAGGGAGCCCAGCUGGGACAAUGUGUGAAUCAACGCAUGAAGGAGUGAGUGAGCAGCUAACCAAAUGAAAGAAUACUCAGAUAUCUGGGGUACAGUUCCCCUCCAGGUUUGCACAGCAUCUGCUGAAGUCUCCACUAGAAACUCAAUGGAAGGUCCCCACCGGAAACUGAAAGUCUCCUAGAGUGGCUUUGAGUUGCGGUUUCACCCUCCCUGCAGAUCCACAGGGGAGGCUGGGGCAGAUGGAAAAUACCAACUUGAUGGUCUGUGGCCACACCAUGCUGCUCCCCAAGGCCCCUCAGAAUUUCACUGCCCAAUAUGGUAGCGCCCAGCCUGAAACGUGGCCAGUGUGAAUUGAGAUGGGCUGGAAAUGCACCAGACUUCCAAGAGCUGGACAAAAACCAUAUACUUUCCAUCCAGCUGUUUGGCAUUGGAUACUGCUGCCUCUGCUUGACUUGAGAAUGUGUGAGAAAAGCUGUGUUUAGACAACUGAAAACCAUGAGCUUGAAAGUAGUGGGGGCACACUCUUGGAGACUCCAGUUGCUCACCAGCUUGGACAAACCACUGGACUCAAAUGAUCAGGUAGAAAUUCAUCACUGGAGAGAACACAGUGGAAUGGCUUCAGCGAAAACUCACUCUGAAGGUCUUCAGGGCAACUUUAAGACUUGCCCCUGGCCGGGCACAGUGGCUUAUGCCUAUAAUCCCAGCACUUUGGGAGGCCGAGGCGGGUGGAUCACCUGAGGUCAGGAGUUCAAGACCAGCCUGGCCAAUAUGGCGAAACCCUGUCUCUACUAAAAAUCCAAAAAAUUAGCCGGGCGUGGUCGUGGGCGCCUGUAAUCCCAGCAACUCGAGAGGCUGAGGCAGGAGAAUUGCCUGAACCCGGGAGGCAGAGUUUGAAGACAGCCGAGAUUGCACCACUGGGCAACAAGAGCAAAACUCCAUCUCAAAAAAAAAAAAAAAAAAAAAAAUACUUGCCCCGGCUUUUUGUGUGAUGGACUUUCUAUUUACAGACGUGAUAUUUAUCUAUGACUUUACUCAGAGUCUGGCUCAUAGACCAGAAGGACUGGUAUCUCCUGGAGCUUGCAGGAAAUGCAAAAUCUCAAACCCCUGUAUUAGUCAGGGUUCUCCAGAGAAGUAGAGCCAAUGGGAUAGAGACAGGGAUAGGGAUGAUAGAGAUGGAGAUAGAGGUAGAGAUCCAUUGAUUCCUCUGUUAAUAAAUUGGCUCAUGCAGUUGUGACAAUUUCGAAAUCUGCAAGGUAUGUCAGCAAGCUGGAGACCCAGGGAACAGUUGAUGUUGCACCUUGAGUACAAAGGCAGUGUGUCUGGAGCCAUAAUAUCUUCUUGUUAGGAAGACUUUGGUCUUUUCUCUUCUGGCCUUCAACUGCUUGGGUGAGGCCCGUCCCCACUACAGAAGACAAUAGUCUGUUCUACUCAGAGUCUACUGAUUUAAAUGCUCAUCUCAUCCCAAAAAAUACCCUCACAGCAACAUUUAGCCUGUGCAUUUGACCAAACAACUGGGUACCAUGCCCCCCCUCCCAAGUUGACACACAAAAUUGACCAUCAUACCCUCCCCACCCCCAGUCUUACUGAAUGAGAGAGAAUCUGUGCUUCAACAAGAUCCCCAGAAGAGGUAUAAGCGCAGGGAAGUCUGAGAAGCACCACCUUUGAGGCUUAUCCAGGAUGCCCACAUGAGCCUUCUCUGGAUAUGUCAGAUCCCCUUCCUGGCCCCCUAGACACCUCCUCCACUCCCCAAACUUGGAAGCAACAUUGUGGGGAAGCAGGCAGUGAGGCGCUCAGUCUACCACGUUGUGAGAUACACAGCUCCAUCUGUGUAUCAUGAUUUGAUCCAAGGGAAAACAAAAGAUCCAGAAACAUAAGUACUUUUUUGUGAGCUCUCAAAAACUUCCUGUGACAAGAUCAGGUCGUUGAUGCGAGAGCCACACUUGUUUCUUUUUCCUCUUUAUUCUCCACCUCUGACAUAAUACUUAGCAUAAAAAAAAAUCCAAUAAACACCACUGAAUCAAUUAUCUAAGCCUCAGUUUCCCUCUUGUAAUAUGUACUUACCUGGUUGUGGUAGGAAAGACACCAGGCAUGAGAAACACUUAAAAGCCCAGGACCCUGAGCUGGGCACAUGGUAGGUACUCAGGAAGUCAUUGCCGAGUGUUCAGUGCAUGCUUGUUGAAUGAGUAAAUGAGGUCAGGCUUCAGCAUGCAAACACUCGCUAUAAAGCAGGAACCCUGUGCCCUGAGUGCACAAAAUAGAUAUCGGUGAGUGCAUAUGGGGGCAGUGAGUGUAUGGAUUGGAUAUAGGUGGGUGUAUAUGGUGAGGAGUAUGGAUUGGAUACAGGUGGGUGUAUACAGAGGGGAGUGAGUGUAUGGAUUGGAUACAGGUGGG
rnacentral:lncRNA from 1 species